rnacentral:lncRNA from 1 species
GGACACGACUGAGCAACUGAACUGAACUGGAGGCCAAAGGAAAUGCAGGGAAAGAGCUUCGGCUGGGGCGGGUGGGGGUGAUCCGGAGGCUCUGGAGGGGCUUCAGUGAGACUGUAAGAGUCUUUCCUGGGGGCAGGUAUCUGUUGCCUGUUUUAUCACUCUGUUGAAGAUGUUUCUGCAGAUGUGCGUCUGAUGGGAUUUUCACAAGUAAAUGUUUCAAGUCAUACAUAAAAUCUCAAGCUCUUCUCUCCCCUCCAAACCCCCAAAGCAUAAACAAAACGAACCCAAACCGCAGAGGAUGUAAAACACUAGCGUCACUUAAGCAUCAGGGAGCCCCGGGUGCCAGAUACGAGCAACCACAAUGCCGUGACAGAAGUGCCAAGGUCAGCCGCCGGGGAGGAGACGGUACCCCCGCCCCAGGCUUUGCAGCCCUCGAAGGGUCCAGCAAGAACCCCUGCUUCUCAACUGCUCCGAGGAGUCCGUGGGGCAGAGAGGAGAGGUCUGUGGGCGGUGGGGGCCUCAAGCCCCGACCACAACCGGCCCCCCUUCUCUGGGACUGGGGUGGGUCCCAAGAAAGGAAGGACAGAGGCCAACGUGGGCUGAAAGUGGAGCAGUCUCCUCUUCCUCUCUUGCAGCCUCUUGGGGAGCCAUGCAGAGGCCCCCACCACGUCUGGUCACUUGUCACGUUCAUCACGGUGGCUCCACGGCCCUCCCCCAUAGCAGCCAGGUUCCCUCGCCUCCUCCCCACCCAGGAACAGAAUUAAGUGCGGCAGAUGCAGAGAUGCGGGCACGGACUGUGGGACACGGCACGCGUUUACUGGGACGCUCUGAGCUCACACUAGAUGCAGACGUGGGGCGAGUACAACCUGCACAGUGGAGUCCAUGUCACAAGACGGGGCAGCGGGCGGCUGCCAGGAUCUGCAGGGCGGGGUGGCUGCUGGCGGCGGCACCAGCUUCCCAAGGGCUGCGGCAAGUGUCCAGAGAUUCCAGCAGUGGCCUGUUCUUUGAUCUCGGCUGCCUCAGUGGGGAAGGAACCAGAUCCGGGUGCAACGAGAUCACAGAAGUGAGCGACACACUGUGAGAGCUUCAGGGGCUCUGCCAGGGCCGCCAGCCGCCAAGUUCCACAGGCAUCUCUUCUAUGAAGACUGAAGGGCACAGCAGCUGGGGGGCUUUGGUCCCAG